rnacentral:rRNA from 1 species
ACGGGAGGCAGCAGUGAGGAAUAUUGGUCAAUGGGCGAGAGCCUGAACCAGCCAUCUCGCGUGAAGGAAGACGGUACUAUGUAUUGUAAACUUCUUUUGUCGCAGGGUAAAGUGAGGUACGUGUACCUUAUUGCAAGUAUGCGAUGAAUAAGCAUCGGCUAACUCCGUGCCAGCAGCCGCGGUAAUACGGAGGAUGCGAGCGUUAUCCGGAUUUAUUGGGUUUAAAGGGUGCGUAGGCGGACUUUCAAGUCAGCGGUGAAAUGCUGCGGCUCAACCGUAGAAUUGCCAUUGAAACUGGGAGUCUUGAGUGCGGUAGAGGUAGGCGGAAUGUGUGGUGUAGCGGUGAAAUGCGUAGAUAUCACACAGAACACCGAUUGCGAAGGCAGCUUACUGGAGCGCAACUGACGCUGAGGCACGAAAGCGUGGGGAUCGAACAGGAUUAGAUACCCUGGUA